AGUGAACGCUGGCGGUAGGCCUAACACAUGCAAGUCGAACGGCAGCACAGUAAGAGCUUGCUCUUACGGGUGGCGAGUGGCGGACGGGUGAGGAAUACAUCGGAAUCUACUUUUUCGUGGGGGAUAACGUAGGGAAACUUACGCUAAUACCGCAUACGACCUACGGGUGAAAGCAGGGGAUCUUCGGACCUUGCGCGAUUGAAUGAGCCGAUGUCGGAUUAGCUAGUUGGCGGGGUAAAGGCCCACCAAGGCGACGAUCCGUAGCUGGUCUGAGAGGAUGAUCAGCCACACUGGAACUGAGACACGGGCCAGACUCCUACGGGGGGCAGCAGUGGGGAAUAUUGGACAAUGGGCGCAAGCCUGAUCCAGCCAUACCGCGUGGGUGAAGAAGGCCUUCGGGUUGUAAAGCCCUUUUGUUGGGAAAGAAAAGCAGCAGGUUAAUACCCCGCUGUUCUGACGGUACCCAAAGAAUAAGCACCGGCUAACUUCGUG
rnacentral:rRNA from 1 species